GAUGAACGCUAGCGACAGGCUUAACACAUGCAAGUCGAGGGCCUAGCAAUAGGUUGCUGACGACCGGCGCACGGGUGAGUAACGCGUAUGCAACCUACCUAUCAGAGGGGGAUAGCCCGGUGAAAGCCGGAUUAAUACCGCAUAAAACAGGGGUCCCGCAUGGGAAUAUUUGUUCAAGAGUAAUUCCUGAUAGAGGGGCAUGCGUUCCAUUAGUUAGUUGGUGUAGGUAACGGCUCACCAAGACAUCGAUGGAUAGGGGUUCCGAGAGGAAGGUCCCCCACACUGGUACUGAGACACGGACCAGACUCCUACGGGAGGCAGCAGUGAGGAAUAUUGGUCAAUGGGCGAGAGCCUGAACCAGCCAAGUCGCGUGAAGGAUGACUGCCCUAUGGGUUGUAAACUUCUUUUAUAGGGGAAUAAAAAGUGGGACGUGUCCUAUAUUGUAUGUACCCUAUGAAUAAGCAUCGGCUAACUCCGUGCCAGCCGCCGCCGUAACAC
rnacentral:rRNA from 1 species